GCACAAGCAGCGAGCAUGUGGUUUAAUUCGAUGCAACGCGAAGAACCUUACCUGGGCUUGACAUCCCGAGAAUCCCCUGGAAACAGGGGAGUGCCUUUCGGGGAACUCGGAGACAGGUGCUGCAUGGCUGUCGUCAGCUCGUGUCGUGAGAUGUUGGGUUAAGUCCCGCAACGAGCGCAACCCUUGUCUUUAAUUGCCAGCAUUCAGUUGGGCACUUUAAAGAGACUGCCGGUGUUAAGCCGGAGGAAGGUGGGGAUGACGUCAAGUCCUCAUGGCCUUUAUGCCCAGGGCUACACACGUGCUACAAUGGGUGGUACAAAGAGAUGCCAACUCGCGAGAGCGCGCCAAUCUCAGAAAGCCAUCCUCAGUUCGGAUUGGAGUCUGCAACUCGACUCCAUGAAGUUGGAAUCGCUAGUAAUCGCGGAUCAGCACGCCGCGGUGAAUACGUUCCCGGGCCUU
rnacentral:rRNA from 1 species